rnacentral:tRNA from 1 species
GCCUGGGUGGCUCAGUUGGUUAAGUGUCCGACUUCGGCUCAGGUCAUGAUCUCACGGUUUGUGGGUUCGAGCCCCACGUCAGGCU